GGUCUGGUGGUGUAGUUGGUUAUCACGUCAGUCUAACAGGUUCGAGAGAUUCGCCUUUCUCGCCUGGCACACUGAAGGUCUCCGGUUCAAGUCCGGGCUAGAUCA
rnacentral:tRNA from 1 species